UUGUUGACCUGCUAUAUACACCCAGUCAUAAAUUUUUAAUAGAUUGAUAUACCAAAUUGUAACUUUUCAAAGCUUAAAUAUUUAAUUGUCAAAUCUUAAUAAAUUCAAACACUAUUUUUUUAAUUUUUCUUUUUUUUCUUUUAUUAUUUAAACACUAUAUUUAUCGACAUAUAAAUGAAGAUAAUAAUGAGUAAUGUAAUUUUGG
rnacentral:lncRNA from 1 species